AGGAGCAACAGCCCCAGUGGCGGGGCCAGCUCUGGAAACCUGGAUUCAGCUCCGGCAGGAACUCCGGAGCUCUCUGUCUGCAGGGCCUGGAGGCUCCGGGGCGGG
rnacentral:pre_miRNA from 1 species